CAAUAGCGUAUAUUAAAAUUGUUGCGGUUAAAACGCUCGUAGUUGGAUAUUUGUUGAGAACUGCCGGUCUACCCCAGUGGUCAGCACACGGUUUGUUCUCGGCACUUUCCUGGGGAGAGUGUUUGCACUUCACUGUGUGGCACAUGAUCCAGAACUUUUACUUUGAGGAAAUGAGAGUGCUUCAAGCAGGCGCCUGUCGUGAAUACGUUAGCAUGGAAUAAUAGCAUGGGACCGCGGUCUGAAGCUGUUGGUUUUUGGGCCGUGGUAAUAAAAUAGGAUAGUUGGGGUAUUCGUAUUUAACUGUCAGAGGUGAAAUUCUUGGAUUUUUAAAGACGGACUACUGCGAAAGCAUCUGCCCAGGAUGUUUUUAUUGAUCAAGAACGAAAGUUAGGGGAUCGAAGA
rnacentral:rRNA from 1 species